rnacentral:rRNA from 1 species
CGACCAGCCACACUGGGACUGAGACACGGCCCAGACUCCUACGGGAGGCAGCAGUGGGGAAUUUUGGACAAUGGGCGAAAGCCUGAUCCAGCCAUUCCGCGUGCAGGAUGAAGGCCCUCGGGUUGUAAACUGCUUUUGUACGGAGCGAAAAGGUCUCGGUUAAUACCCGGGGCUCAUGACGGUACCGUAAGAAUAAGCACCGGCUAACUACGUGCCAGCAGCCGCGGUAAUACGUAGGGUGCAAGCGUUAAUCGGAAUUACUGGGCGUAAAGCGUGCGCAGGCGGUUUUGUAAGACAGAGGUGAAAUCCCCGGGCUCAACCUGGGAACUGCCUUUGUGACUGCAAGGCUGGAGUGCGGCAGAGGGGGAUGGAAUUCCGCGUGUAGCAGUGAAAUGCGUAGAUAUGCGGAGGAACACCGAUGGCGAAGGCAAUCCCCUGGGCCUGCACUGACGCUCAUGCACGAAAGCGUGGGGAGCAAACAGGAUUAGAUACACUGGUAGUCCACGCCCUAAACGAUGUCAACUGGUUGUUGGGUUUUAAUUGACUCAGUAACGAAGCUAACGCGUGAAGUUGACCGCCUGGGGAGUACGGCCGCAAGGUUGAAACUCAAGGAAUUGACGGGGACCCGCACAGCGGUGGAUGAUGUGGUUUAAUUCGAUGCAACGCGAAAACCUUACCCACCU